rnacentral:rRNA from 1 species
CGCGAAGAACCUUACCAGGACUUGACAUCUUCUGCCAACCUUAGAGAUUAGGACGUUCCCUUCGGGAACAGAAUGACAGGUGGUGCAUGGCUGUCGUCAGCUCGUGUCGUGAGAUGUUGGGUUAAGUCCCGCAACGAGCGCAACCCUUGUAUCUAGUUGCCAGCAUUAAGUUGGCACUCUAGAGAGACUCCGU